UACGUAGGGGGCAAGCGUUGUCCGGAUUUAUUGGGCGUAAAGAGCGUGUAGGCGGUUUGGUAGGUCCGCUGUGAAAACUCGAGGCUCAACCUCGAGACGCCGGUGGAAACCAUCAGACUAGAGUCCGGAAGAGGAGAGUGGAAUUCCUGGUGUAGCGGUGAAAUGCGCAGAUAUCAGGAAGAACACACGUGGGUAAGGCGGCUCUCGAGUACGGUACUGACGCUGAGACGCGAAAGCGUGGGGAGCGAACAGG
rnacentral:rRNA from 1 species